rnacentral:rRNA from 1 species
AUUGAACGCUGGCGGCAGGCCUAACACAUGCAAGUCGAGCGGAUGAAGGGAGCUUGCUCCUGGAUUCAGCGGCGGACGGGUGAGUAAUGCCUAGGAAUCUGCCUGGUAGUGGGGAUAACGUCCGGAAACGUUGGCUUAUUCCGCCUACCGCCCGGGGGAGAAAGUGUGGGUUUCUCGGACCCUACGCCAAUCGAUUAACCUAGGUCGGAUUAGCUUGUUGGUGGGGUAAAGGCCUACCAAGGCGACGAUCCGUAACUGGUCUGAGAGGAUGAUCAGUCACACUAGAACUGAGACACGGUCCAGACUCCUACGGGAGGCAGCAGUGGGGAAUAUUGGACAAUGGGCGAAAGCCUGAUCCAGCCAUGCCGCGUGUGUGAAGAAGGUCUUCGGAUUGUAAAGCACUUUAAGUUGGGAGGAAGGGCAGUAAGUUAAUACCUUGCUGUUUUGACGUUACCAACAGAAUAAGCACCGGCUAACUUCGUG